GAGCCUUAACACAGAGGUUUAAGUGACUGAGUCCGCAAGUGGACCCUCAUUUCUUUCUUUCUCCUCAGGAACAGCUCGAGGUCUCCAGACUGAACGUUCUACUACAGGUGUUGCUGGACGUCCGGUUUCCACGACCCUCAAUGCUGGCAGCCUAGGCAGCACUGGAGCGGGCCCCGCCUUCACCAGUAGCCCUGGCCACACACCAGG